AACCUCCCAGAAUCGCAUGUGGAGAGUGGCUAAUAUUCUGCCAGCUUUGGAGACGGGACGGAAAACAAGCCUAGCAGGGGUACCCAUUCCACUCCCCACUUGCUCUGUAGCUGGUGAUUGGAAGACUCUCUGCAACAGUG